GUAUGAUACGGAUCAGAAUGAAAACGCUUCAACCCCAUCAGUAGCUGGAUCUUCAGUACUGAUGCGGUUGAUGUAAGCAGCUCCAGAGAAUCAGAGAAAGAGGCCGGAAGGACUUCUGAAGCAGUGUUUUGAUCCUCAGCAACACAGAAACUCUCCACCGAAACCAGACUGAUGAAAGUCGGUGAAGGUUCACAACAUGCAGACACCAUCUACCGCACACGCCAUCGGUCUGUGUAACCAAGAGACAGCAAUAGUAUGACCAUAGGAUGAAGGCCACAGCGGAGGAAGUACUUUAGACUGGAGAGAGGUUGCUGAUCAGUCACGUACCGGUGUCAUGAGGGGAGAGCAUCGCAAUACCCAGGGUGAGCAGAAAAACCCAGCGGGUGAGAGAGACAGGCGUCCACAUCUUCAAACGCUGCAAGGCACCAAAACCGACUCUGGAUCUGAACCGUACACGGCUUCGUUGUUCAGGCUCAACCUUGUGGACUCGCCAAAGUCUGACGACGACUGAACCGGACAGGUGUGAUCUUACAUACUGCAGCUUCACGCAAAAAGAGGAAGUAUUGUCGUGCGCAAUCUUUGUGGCUUUACAUGAAUUAUUCUGAGGGGACUACGGUGCAUGUACCCACCCAGACGGUUGUGAAGUUUGUAGAUCAUGUCCUUACAUGAUCAGGUUUGUUGUGUAACAACAUCUUCUGUAACAAGGUGAACAGCGUGACAAGACACUUUUUACUCAAAAGUAUGUGGACACCCACCCAGAUAUACUGAUAUUUUAGACAGUAGUGUGUGUAGCAACUGUGUGGCAACAGUUUGUGUUUGUUCGUGUCCUCCUUCAACAUGACAAUGCCCCCAUGCACAAAGCCAGCCUCCAUACUGAAAUGGAUUUCAUAGUUUAGUGUGGAAGAAGUUGACUGGCCCGCAAAGAGCCCUGACCUCAACCCCGUCUAACACCUUUAAGAUGAACUUGAGCCACGACUAUGAGCCAGUGGCGGAAAGAAACUAAGUACAUCUACUCAAGUACUGUACUUAAGCACAAUUUUGAGGUACUAUACUUAAUGUUUCCCUUUUCUGCUUCUUUAUAUAUCUACUCCACUGCAGUUCGGAGACAAAUAUUGUAGCUUUACCCCACCACAUUUAUAUGGUCACAUUAGUCAAUUUACAGAUUGGUUUUAAUGAUAUAAAAUAUAACCAGCACAUACAUUCUGAUGUUUUAUUAUCAUAAGUUAAGAUGAAAAUCAGUUCAUCCUCAGAGGGAAAUUCACAAGACACCUGUCAGUAUAUAAAGAAAUUAAACUUAGACCCACCUUUAUCAGCUGCAGCAUUAGUAGUAAUGUACAUGUUCAUGCAUCAAUAAUUAUAAUCUAACAUGUGGUUGAAAUCUUCCAGUGUCUACAUACUUUUGGCCAUAUACAGUAUUGUAAAUUAAAUUAUCAUCGGCCAAAUUAGUUAUGGUUUUGAAUAAGAUUGUCAUACAACAUCUAACAGUAGUUAGUAUAUGCAAGUUAAUCUUUUCCUAUAUUAUAUAUAUUGUGUUUUUGAUGUUGAUGACCCAAGGGCUGUGUUUUUUAUGAUCUUAUUUUGUUAUUUUUACUCUUUUUGUUUCUUAUUCUGAAUUAUUAUUAUGAAACUAUUUGUAUUGGGUCUGUUUUAAAUUUUUGCUUACUGUUACGUUACUACAGUUCCUUACAGCCUGAUUUGAAAGAAAUGUCAAAGUGAGUCAGCACAGAAAUCCCCAUUCAUACAGUGUAUCCCCUCCCCACUGUGCUGUCAGACAAAACGAGACCUGCAUGUGGAAAAAAAAUACAUAAUAAGUCAGUUUUUAAAAAAGUAUUUAAUUGUUUGAUUUAAUGGUUUAUUUUUGGUUCCAGGUUCAGAAAGAACAAAUCUGCCAUUACUGUAAUUCAUAGCUUUACAAAAUACUGCCACAAAAAUUGCUUUUUAAGCAAUAUAAAAUUAAAUAAAAAAAUAAAUUACAUUCAAAUGGAUAUUUAUG